ensembl:lncRNA
UGCGGUGCUGCCCUCUGGCGGACAUCUUCUGUCACUACAUUAAGUGGAUCGAUAGAUACAAAUCAAUUCUUCGAGUCUUUUGCUUGCAAAUAACUUUAUGUUUUCAUGUCAUUUACAUGUAUUUACAUGACUCAUUUGAUAAAAAGAAUCAUCCCGGGAGGAGUUACCGAGCGGGACCGGUGACCGUGGGUUCGAGCCCCGCCUCGGAGGAGCAGACAGCCGCGUUCGUCCUGUUGGGACCCGACUGAGAGGACACCUUAGAAGACACCUUGGUGUUAAAUUACUGUCCCUUCCUAAAACCUCUAUGUGGUUUUAUUAAGAGGGUUUUAAACUCCAAAUCAGAUUUGAUUUUCAAAGUGAGCAGAGAGCAAAGUUAAAAUAAUUGAUGAUGUGUUUUCAAACUGGAUAUCUUUACCCUUCUGAGAGUUUGUUGGAUUAAAAGAGACAUUUGCCACUAUCAACAUUCUAGUAUUGUCCGGGACAUAUUGAUUUAUAUCGUGACAUUGAGUCUGUAUCUAUCAUAAUAUAUCCAAAUAACAAGGCGGCAUCGCAGUGAAAAGCGAUUUUCCCAUUUAUUCAUCCACACAUAUUCAUGGUCUCGAUUUCGAGGUGUAUCUGGGUUUUUCUGAAGGACUCGUGGGCCCGUCUGUGUGCUCCUCCUCCCCCUCCUCCCGCUGAUGCUGCUGCGCCUUCUUCUCGUCCUCCAUCAGCUCGCGCCUCCUCAUCUCCCCGGGGGGGUACAGCUCGGCCGACUCCUCCUCCACGCCGUUGGGGGCGUACACUUUGACCGGGCGGCGCUUGCGCCCGACGGGCUUCCCCCAGCGGAAGUGCUCCAUGGAGUAGGAGCGCUUGGCCUGCGGGGAGGAGGAGGCGGGCAGAUGUUUGAAACCAACGCAGGAGGAGCGAUCCGGGGCGACUCCCCACGGAAGCGUGAGA